rfam:Lupinus angustifolius cultivar Tanjil contig_20165, whole genome shotgun sequence.
GGCCUGUGAUGCAUGAAAAUAUUUGCUACUCUUGAUGGGAAUCACCCAUUUGAUGAUUUAUUUUCCACCAAGAUCUCUGAGGCU